rnacentral:lncRNA from 1 species
UUUCUUUUUGUUGUUUUUCGUGGGUUUUAUCGAUAUUUUCCCUUUCCUUCAUUGGAAUAAAUAAAGUUCGGUGGCGACUCUGUUCGAACAUCUUUUCCGUGAGCAUGCGAGCGCCUCACGAAGGAUCGCGCUUUUUUGAGAUACGACACCUAAGUCCAAGCCUCCCUAGCAAAGGUGGACAAAACCUGUUGGCAAGGAGCAGACUGAAAAUUCUAAAUGGAGAAACUUUGAGAUGGAUUGAGGUUCCUCGUUGACUUAUCGAGAGAAAUUUCAGAUGUCGGAAAUGCGCUCAUACAUGCCUAUUAAUUACAAAGGAAAAAACCAUAUGUCAAGGUCACAAUGUAGAAGGUUCAUAGAAAGAAGAAAGCUAAAAGGCAGGCGAUAGAAUCAAGCAACAACAAACAACAUCAAAGUCGAGUGGCGCCAAAGUCAAGCAAAAACAAACAACAUCAAAGUCGAACAAAUGAACGGGUGAAAAAACCAGUGGGGAGUAAAUUUUUUCUCCUAAGACAAGUCAGUCGAAAGAAAAGGUGAAAUAUGAGAUAUCGUCGAAGGAAGAUGAAUUGGUAACAGACAAUUUCGACUCUAGGUCGAAAAAUGAUUUGUUACGUGUUGUUCAACGUGGUCUUCGUACUUCCUAGGGAGUACGAUUGUGCUGAGCCUGAAGAUUGUGAGGAAAAGGAGAUGGCGAGAUACAAGCCAGUAUGUUACUUCGUGAUGAAAAAUGGUUGUAUUGAGGAAUAAAAUGACUUUUUUGAGAGGCCCCAUGAAGGGAUGAAAAGUCAUAUGAAGCCCCUAUUUAUAAGGGUGAAAGUGGAAAAGGAGACAGUGAACAAGAUUUUGGUGGAUGGAAGGGCAUAUGUGAAUUUAAUGCCCUACUUCUUAUUGGGAAAAAAUUGGGAAGUUCGAUACAGACUUGAGGCCCCAUAACAUGGUGCUUUCAAACUACGAAGGAAAGACAGGUCAAACUAUGGGAGUUAUUCAAGUAAAUGUAACAGUGGGAUCUAUAACUCGAUCCAUAGUUUUUAUGGUCAUAACGUCAAAGGCUAGCUACAAAUUGCUCAUGAGUUGAGAAUGGAUACACGAAGUAGAAGAAGUGACUUCGUCGUUGCAUCAAAAGAUAGCAAUCUGGCAAGAUGAUGGGAUAUUCGAGAAUGUUGAAGCUGGUCAAGGAUACUACAUGGUGGAGGUGAACCACGUAGACAAAAGAAAUUUUGAUAAGAAUUUAGCUAAUAUUGUGCCUUGCACACCAACAGGGUUAGCUUACAUACCUUUAGACGAGGCAUUCGAUUCUUUGAAGAUCCAUCCAACUCAUGGAUUCACAUAGGAUAGAUAGGUCAUGGGUGAGAGAUUUUAUGAUUCACACACAAUCCUACCAACUAGCUAAGGUGACAAAUUUGAUGAUGAUGUAUGAAUUCGACGCAUUUAAGCAGAUUUCGGCUUACGUAGCCAAGAAUAGAUUAAAAGCGGCUUUGGAAGUUGAAGUACCACAUAUGGAUGUCGAAGCCAAUGAUAUAAAAGUGUUCGAUGUGAUUCAAAGGAUCGAUAUUGGACCUCAACCAGUCGAAGAGUCGCGAUCAGUCGACUUAGAAGAUGAUGGUCAAAAAGACCAGAGGAUCGAUUGCAUCUGUGACGAUGAGCUAUUGGGUUUUGAGAAGGAUCCAGUUGCGUCUACUACAAAGAUGCAGCCUUAAGAUCCACUUGAAGAAAUUGAUUUGGCGAUAGAACUAUCAAAAGGCCGACUUACAUCAGUGCCAACAUUGACCCAGAUCUGAGGGUAGAGGUGAUUAAGUUACUUCGUGAAUUUAAGGAUUGUUUUGCUUGGGAUUAUAAUGAAAUGCUAGGUUUGAGCAGGGAUUUGGUGGAAUUAAAAUUGUCAAUAAAUACGGGGAAGAAGCCAGUCAAGCAGACGCCUAUACGGUUUUCCCCAUAAAUCAUGUUCAAGAUAAAAGAGGAGAUCGAGAGGCUCCUAAGAAGCAAGUUUAUAAGAAUGACAAGGUAUGUCGAGUGGCUUGCCAAUAUUGUUCCAUUAAUUAAUAAAAAUGGAACAUUAAGGGUUUGCAUUGACUUCAGAGAUCUGAGUGCUGGGAUCCCAAAAGAAGAAUACCUCGUGCCUUUCACCGAGAUGUUGGUUGAAUCAGCAGCAAGUUUCGAAUACCUUAGUAUGUUGGAUGUUAUUCUGGUUAUAACCAAAUUUUCAUCGCAAAUGAAGAUGUGCCGAAGGCGGAAUUUCCAUGCCCAAGAGCUUUCAUAUUUUCAGAAUUUGAAUUAACCUCUUCCACACUAAUACUUCAAACAAUUUUUCUCUUCAUCUUUCAAAUUUUCUCAAGUGUUCUUGAUUAAAUUUUCCGGUGAAACUUUCUACACAGAAUUUUCAAUAUACAUUCAUAUAGUUUCAUCCAUACCAUUCUUAGAGCACUUGUAUGUCAUAAAGAGAAUUGAUUUCUUAAAAGGAGAAGAUCAAUCAAUAGAUUGAUAUAUUGUUCCAUCUUUCAAAAAC